UUGAACGCUGGCGGCAGGCCUAACACAUGCAAGUCGAACGGUAACAGAAAGCAGCUUGCUGCUUUGCUGACGAGUGGCGGACGGGUGAGUAAUGUCUGGGAAACUGCCCGAUGGAGGGGGAUAACUACUGGAAACGGUAGCUAAUACCGCAUAACGUCGCAAGACCAAAGAGGGGGACCUUCGGGCCUCUUGCCAUCGGAUGUGCCCAGAUGGGAUUAGCUAGUAGGUGGGGUAACGGCUCACCUAGGCGACGAUCCCUAGCUGGUCUGAGAGGAUGACCAGCCACACUGGAACUGAGACACGGUCCAGACUCCUACGGGAGGCAGCAGUGGGGAAUAUUGCACAAUGGGCGCAAGCCUGAUGCAGCCAUGCCGCGUGUAUGAAGAAGGCCUUCGGGUUGUAAAGUACUUUCAGCGGGGAGGAAGGGAGUAAAGUUAAUACCUUUGCUCAUUGACGUUACCCGCAGAAGAAGCACCGGCUAACUCCGUGCCAGCAGCCGCGGUAAUACGGAGGGUGCAAGCGUUAAUCGGAAUUACUGGGCGUAAAGCGCACGCAGGCGGUUUGUUAAGUCAGAUGUGAAAUCCCCGGGCUCAACCUGGGAACUGCAUCUGAUACUGGCAAGCUUGAGUCUCGUAGAGGGGGGUAGAAUUCCAGGUGUAGCGGUGAAAUGCGUAGAGAUCUGGAGGAAUACCGGUGGCGAAGGCGGCCCCCUGGACGAAGACUGACGCUCAGGUGCGAAAGCGUGGGGAGCAAACAGGAUUAGAUACCCUGGUAGUCCACGCCGUAAACGAUGUCGACUUGGAGGUUGUGCCCUUGAGGCGUGGCUUCCGGAGCUAACGCGUUAAGUCGACCGCCUGGGGAGUACGGCCGCAAGGUUAAAACUCAAAUGAAUUGACGGGGGCCCGCACAAGCGGUGGAGCAUGUGGUUUAAUUCGAUGCAACGCGAAGAACCUUACCUGGUCUUGACAUCCACGGAAGUUUUCAGAGAUGAGAAUGUGCCUUCGGGAACCGUGAGACAGGUGCUGCAUGGCUGUCGUCAGCUCGUGUUGUGAAAUGUUGGGUUAAGUCCCGCAACGAGCGCAACCCUUAUCCUUUGUUGCCAGCGGUCCGGCCGGGAACUCAAAGGAGACUGCCAGUGAUAAACUGGAGGAAGGUGGGGAUGACGUCAAGUCAUCGUGGCCCUUACGACCAGGGCUACACACGUGCUACAAUGGCGCAUACAAAGAGAAGCGACCUCGCGAGAGCAAGCGGACCUCAUAAAGUGCGUCGUAGUCCGGAUUGGAGUCUGCAACUCGACUCCAUGAAGUCGGAAUCGCUAGUAAUCGUGGAUCAGAAUGCCACGGUGAAUACGUUCCCGGGCCUUGUACACACCGCCCGUCACACCAUGGGAGUGGGUUGCAAAAGAAGUAGGUAGCUUAACCUUCGGGAGGGCGCUUACCACUUUGUGAUUCAUGACUGGGGUG
rnacentral:rRNA from 1 species